AUUGAACGCUGGCGGCAUGCCUUACACAUGCAAGUCGAACGGUAACAGGUUAAGCUGACGAGUGGCGAACGGGUGAGUAAUAUAUCGGAACGUGCCCAGUCGUGGGGGAUAACGUAGCGAAAGCUACGCUAAUACCGCAUACGAUCUACGGAUGAAAGCGGGGGAUCGCAAGACCUCGCGCGAUUGGAGCGGCCGAUAUCAGAUUAGGUUGUUGGUGAGGUAAAAGCUCACCAAGCCUGCGAUCUGUAGCUGGUCUGGGAGGACGACGAGCCAAGCUGGAACUGAGACACGGGCCAGACGCCUACGGGCGGCAGCAGUGGGGAAUUUUGGACAAGGGGCGCAAGUCUGAUCCAGCAAUGCCGCGUGCAGGACGAAGGCCUUCGGGUUGUAAACUGCUUUUGUACGGAACGAAACGGUGAGCUCUAAUACAGUUUGCUAAUGACGGUACCGUAAGAAUAAGCACCGGCUAACUACGUGCCAGCCGCCGCAGUAA
rnacentral:rRNA from 1 species